UGCCUGGGUGGCUCAGUGUGUUAAGUGCUGGACCUUUGAUUUUAGGUUGGUCAUGAUCUCAUGGAACGCAGCCCCAGCUUAGAGUGGAUCCUAUUUGAGAUUCUCUCUCUUUCUCCCUCUGUCGCUCCCUGCUCACAUGUGGGCUAUCUCUCUCUCUGUCUCUUUCUCAAAUAAACAAACAAACAAAUAAUAAAGAACUAUGUUUGAAAGUCUAUUGCUUUUCAAAGGCCACACCUGAAGUCUUCAGUGAAGGCUCCAAAUAAAACCCAUAUGAAGGCUACUUCGGAAAAGACGGCUAAUAAAGCAGUUUUAAAAAAGAUUUAUUUAUUUAUGAGAUAGCCACGUGUGGGCAGGGGAGGGGCAGAGAAGGAGAGAAAGGGACACACUGGUUCUACCCUGAGUGGAAAGCCUGAGUGUGAAGCCUAGAUGUGGGACUGGAUAUCAUUACCAGAGAUCAUGACCUGAGCUGAAAUCAAGAGUCCUACACCUAACUGAGGGAGCCAUUCAGGUGUCCUGCUAACACAGCAAUUUUUAAUGAUUCUCUGUAAUACUGGAAAAUGUAACAAGCAAAGAAGAAGACUCCAGCUUUUAUUUAUAAUUUUGUUAUCUUUUUUCUUAUUAUAAAAGUGUUCAAGAUGAUGGUAGACUGAGCAAAUGUAUAUUCUUUUGUCUUUCCAGGAAUCCUCUAAAAUAAAAAUAUACAAGAAAUAAAUGUACCAGAACUAUAAGCAGAACUGGAGAAUUAUAGCUUAGAUUCAGGAAAUUUAUGGAAGUUGAAAAGUGGAUGCUUGAAUGUUCAUAAUAUAAACAAAUGGAGAAAGGCACAGCCCAGAAUGUGUUAUGAAGGAGGGGCAGAGAUGAGAGUAGGUUCAGCCUUCAAAACCUGGAGAAACUCUGGACUCAGAAUUAGCAGUUACUGCUAUCCCAGAAUUGGGUGAAGAGGAAAGUGGAAGUGGUAAGUCACCAGAAGACAAUUGUAAGCCUGGCUCAUUUCUGCAUCCUUAAGGACUUCAGCACUGAAUCCUAUGAUCUAGGAAUUUUCCUGGAAAUGUCACCAUUUCUUGGGAUCAGUGCACACGCAUCAUGUCUAAAAAAGGAAAAAGAAGAAGAGAAAAGUGAACUUCACAAGUCCUACUUUUAAGGUGCAGAAGAGCAUAGCUUGCUGUCCUCGUGAUGGGAUUAGAGGGCAAAGUAUUACAUUUAUUACACAGUGAUGCUGCUGCUGUGCUAAGAUAAUAUGAUCUGAAUCUGUAUUGAUGUUAUCAGACUAAGCACCCAUCACAAUGUUCCCAACUCACAAGAAACAGUGGUCAGAAAUAUUAGGAAACUGAAAUUGAAAUAUUUUAUCACAGCAGAAUUUCUUUACAAAAAAGUAUAAGUGAAAUCACAACUGAAGUAAAUUUCUGAGCAGCUCUUUUGUUAGCCAAGCAAAGAGAACUUUUACAGUUGGCGAGUUAAUUAAAUCAUAUUCGGUUGCAGCAGCUGAAGAAAUGUGUCCAGAGGAAAAAAACUACUAGCCUUUUGGCAAAGAGUGAGGACAUUGUGAACGUCAACAUCAAUUAUAAAAAGAGAAUGUUUGCCUACGUGUGAUUUAAUCUAUACUGGAAAUGUCCAAGGGACAACACAAACGAGCAGUCACCGGAGGAUCCCAUUUCCUUUAUGGUUUGUUUCUUGUCAGAAAAUACAUUUUCAAAUCUCAUUUUCGGGCUGGCCCUGCAGUUUAUCUGAUUUCCUUUGGUAUCUGCCGUGUUGUCGCUGAAGAGCACGGUCAGCGGGUCAUUGUGGAAAUCAGUUUUAAUUUGCUCUGAGUCAGUUCUAUGCAACAGAAUAAUGGAGCCCUUUAUUUGCAAUAAAGAAAC